UGGGGAAUAUUGCGCAAUGGGGGAAACCCUGACGCAGCGACGCCGCGUGCGGGAUGAAGGCCUUCGGGUUGUAAACCGCUUUUGAUUGGGAGCAAGCUUUCGGGUGAGUGUACCUUUCGAAUAAGCGCCGGCUAACUACGUGCCAGCAGCCGCGGUAAUACGUAGGGCGCAAGCGUUAUCCGGAGUUAUUGGGCGUAAAGAGCUUGUAGGCGGUUCGUCGCGUCUGGUGUGAAAGCCCAUCGCUUAACGGUGGGUUUGCGCCGGGUACGGGCGGGCUAGAGUGCAGUAGGGGAGACUGGAAUUCCCGGUGUAACGGUGGAAUGUGUAGAUAUCGGGAAGAACACCAAUGGCGAAGGCAGGUCUCUGGGCUGUUACUGACGCUGAGAAGCGAAAGCGUGGGGAGCGAACAGG
rnacentral:rRNA from 1 species